UUGUUGCAAGACUUCUUCAACGGGAAGGAGCUCUGCAAGAGCAUUAAUCCUGAUGAGGCCGUUGCUUAUGGUGCUGCGGUUCAGGCUGCUAUCUUGAGUGGUGAAGGAAAUGAGAAGGUUCAGGAUCUAUUGCUUUUGGAUGUCACUCCUUUGUCCCUUGGACUCGAAACUGCUGGUGGUGUUAUGACUGUUUUGAUUCCGAGAAACACUACCAUUCCCACCAAGAAGGAGCAGGUGUUUUCAACUUACUCUGAUAACCAACCUGGUGUCUUGAUCCAAGUUUAUGAGGGUGAGAGAGCUCGAACCCGGGACAAUAAUUUGUUGGGUAAAUUCGAGCUCUCUGGCAUUCCACCAGCACCCAGAGGCGUUCCCCAAAUUACAGUUUGCUUCGACAUUGAUGCUAAUGGCAUCUUGAAUGUCUCUGCCGAGGACAAGACUACUGGCCAGAAGAACAAGAUUACUAUAACAAACGACAAGGGUCGGUUGUCGAAGGAAGAAAUCGAGAAGAUGGUUCAAGAAGCCGAGAAGUACAAGUCCGAGGAUGAGGAGCACAAGAAGAAGGUUGAAGCCAAGAAUUCAUUGGAGAACUAUGCCUACAACAUGAGGAAUACUAUCAAGGAUGAGAAGAUUGGUUCAAAGCUUGACCCGGCUGACAAGAAGAAGAUUGAAGAUGCCAUUGAUGGAGCAAUCCAAUGGUUGGAUGGCAACCAGCUAGCCGAGGCCGAUGAAUUCGAGGAUAAGAUGAAGGAGCUCGAGAGCAUCUGCAAUCCUAUCAUUGCCAAGAUGUACCAAGGUGCAGGGGCUGACAUGGGUGGUGGCAUGGACGAGGAUGCCCCACCUACCGGUGGCAGCGGUGCUGGACCUAAGAUAGAAGAAGUCGACUAAAUCAAAUAUUAAGAUAGUAUUUUGACGAUGUUUAACAGCUUCUGCUGGUGCUAUAUUUUAUGUUUUCAGCAACCUAUGUUUUGAUGUAAUGAAAAAUCUGGUUUAUUUUUGGGAACAUUACCAUCUUAGGUAAUGAAUGUUCCCCGUUUUAAGAAUUAUAUCAGCUUCUCUAUAUUAAUGUUUAGUUUUAUCUUCAUCAUUGUGUUUAGGUUAUAUGUUUUUUUUCUUCCUUGAAUCGUUACGACAGCAAGUCUUUGGCUGUUACAAUUGUUAUUGGCAUGAAAUGUGGUGGAAAACUGUGUUUCAUCUGGUAAACGAUGGACUCGGGAGCUAAAAUAAUAUAUAAUUGGAGUUCUCGAAGAAAUUGACACGAAUAAAAAAUAUUGAUGUAAUAUAAAUAUUCAAAUAUGAAUCAAUUAGUUCUCUAUCUUGAAUUGCUUCAUUUGAAUCAUUUUAAUUAACAACAAUAUCAAAUUUUUUUAGGGUAAUAGACUUGGAAAUUGUUUUUGUAUCGAAAUUUUUGGUGGACUAACGUAGUAAGAACAAAUUUGGAUAAAAAAAAGGAUUACGUCUUAGUAUGUUGACAAUUAUCAAAUUUAAACAUCAAUUUCGACAAAAAAAAAAGAUUUUAGUGUGAAAAUAAUUGUAAGUCGAAAAAUGCAUUUAACCCUAAAUCAAACAUCAAAAGACUAUGUUAGCUUUAAAUUAAAUAGGGUUAUGGUCAUUUACUAUUUUAAAUUUAGAAUUUAUAUGAUACGAUGAUAUCAUUUCAAAAGAUCUUUGUAAAAUAAAAAUGUACACUUUUUAAGUUUCUCUUCUUUCUUUCUUCUCAUUUCAUUCCAUGCGUUUUUUUUUUCAGUUUGCAGAUCUAUUUUGUGGCUAUCUUUGUUGUCUUCAUAAGUUGUAAUGGAUAGAUGAUGGUGCCUAUCAUCGUUGAAACACCACCGACCAUCGAUAGUUUCUUUUAGAAAGUGAGUAGCUCUUUAUUGACUUUUUAAUCUGUUUCUGUUUUGAAAGCUUUAGAAUAAUAAAUCAUUUCAUGAGUUGGUUUGGACCGUGUAAUUUCAAGUUUUAUAUGUUUUUCUGUUUGUUUUUUUCAUUGUUUAAUAAUUCACUUGUAGAAGUUUUUGUCUACUCUUGUAGUACGCUUUUUAGUCUUAUUUAUGCUCGCAGUCUUGCUUUUGUGAGUAAUUUUAGGGUUGGUUUUGUCGCUAUCCCCUCUAGUUUGGUGGAUGCUCGGUUCUUUUACCGAUUUAUGCCUGUUGUUUUGGACAAUCUGAGGCUGAUUUUCUUAUUGUAUUAAGUUCUUGCAGUUACUUCUGAUAUGUUGAGCUUGAGUUGUGACAGAGCAGAUUGUCAACGUGUCAUAAUGUUCUAUUGAUGCUGAAGCUGAAGCUUUUAUUGUGUUGAUGGAGCUUGUCCUUCAGCGCGUACUACGAAUGUUUGUUGUUUCCCCCCAAUUGUAUGGUCUUAUUAAUUGAAUGAAUUAAUGAAUUUCUCUAUAAAAAAAUAGAAUUUAUAUUAUUUUACCUUGAUAAAAUUUAGUUAUUGUAUUUUUGUUAUACAUUUAGUUAGUCCUUUUAGUUGACACCCUUGAUUAUUUUGAUUAAAAUGUUGGAUUGAAUUUUUUAAAUAAAAUCCAUUCCAACUUAUCAUGCCAAAGUAGAUAUUAUUAUUAUUAUUAGAAAUGUGUUUUCCAAGAAAAACUCAUGUAAUCAUUUUAAUCGAAAUAGCUAAAGAUAUUAAUUAUUUGGAUUAAUUAACAUUAUUGUAAAAGUGGAUAAUCAAAUUAUAUGAAAUUUAAAUAUAACUUACACCUUAACAAGAUAGAGACUAAAUCUCAAAUGUGAGCGGAAUAAAAUCAAAGUUGAAUUUGACCAUUAUCUCAUAACACCUAAAAAGAGAGAGAAAAGGAUGGAGUUGUAAACAAGUAAUCAUGUAGGUUAGGUGUUUCUUCUAUAUAUAUAUAGUUUAAGUUGAAUUAUGUUUAUGGUUCCUCUACUAUGUUUUAACUUAAGAUUUAGCAUUGAUACUUUAAUUUGAUAUAAAUUGAUUAAUGUAUUUUUAUAAUAUCAUUAGUUAGUCCAAAUAAUCACACCAAAUGAAUUUUUUUUUGUAUGUGCGUGUUAAAAAGUUUUUUUUAAAGAAAAAUUCACUUCAUCAUUUUAAUUGGAAUAAUUAAGAAUACUAAUUAUUUGGACUAAUUAAUUUUAUUCUAAAAGUAGAGAACCAUGUAAUGUGAAAUUAAAAUGUAAAGACUAAAUUUGAAAUGUGAACACAGAAAAGAAAGACUAAAACUAGAAUGGACUAUUAUCUUAUGAUGGAAUGGAUUUGACACGUGUCAUUGAGAAAGGCUAAAGGGCAUUCCUUUUAUGUAUAGAGUAUAAUUGAAUGUUAAAAAAUAUAUGAAUAGAGAAUUCAAGAUUAGUUUCAAGUAGUGUAUUUAAUUAACACUUAAAUUUAAACAUUUUAUUGAGUUGAUAUCACCUUUAAUUGGGAUACCAACUUAGUUAUGCCGGUUUUUUACAUAAAUAAUAUAAAAAAAACUAAAAUGGGUUCUUGCAAGAAUUAUGUACCAAAAUGGGUUGUUCAAAUGGGUGGAGGGUGGUGCAUAGGCAACACCAUCCUCAUUCUGACACAAUAUUUUGAAAAAAAAUAUUUUAGUAGUGGUGCCAAAGGGAUAGGCGGCACCACUUUUCCAUUCUGGUAUACAUAGGUAAAAAAAUACGAAGGGGGUGUGGUGCCUAUCUGAUAGGCGGCACACCUAGUAUAUUCCCCCUACUCCCCCAUUCGGCUCGUAUCAAUUUAAAAAAAAUAUAGUAGAACAAGAGAGGGAGAAGAGAAGAAAGAAAGAAAAGAGAAUAAAGAAAUUGUAUUAUUAUUUUUAUUGUUAUUUUCAAAUAUAAUAGAUUAUGAUAAGAAAAAAUUAUUUUGUUAGUAUUAUAUAGUUUGUUUAGUGUUAUUUUUAUGUUUUGUUUUAAAGUUAUUUUGUUUAUUGUGAUUUGUUAGUAACUUUUGUGUUUAGAUUAUUGAGAAUGUUAUGUUUUAAAUUUUUUUAAUACAUUUGAAAGUUUUUAUGUUAGUAACUAUUAUAAAGUAAUUGUUAGUUAGUGAUAACAACAGGAAAAAAUAAAUAAAUACUGAAAAUAUUUUUGUCAUAGAUAUUGUUAGAAAUGACAAUACAUUUGAUAUUGUUAGAAAUGGUCUCUUUUCAUUCAUUAAAUUUUUUAUGUAAGUAUUUUUAUGCUGUUCGAAAUUGUUUUGAGAAUUUUUGUUUAUCUUUAACAGAUUGAGUAUUGAAGAUGGAUAAUCAGUUUUUCGUAUGCGUUUAUUUUGAUGGAAUAAUAUUGACAACAACCGUUGGAUGUAUAUUUGAAUGUCGGCAACAAAUAGCAAUGAGAUUUAAUAGCAAUGUUUCGUUCGAUGAUAUGAAGGAAAUGAUUAGUGCAAAAAUUGUUAAACGUUGUAGGAGAAGGAUCUUGAAACUUUUCUACAAGUUUCCAGUUUCGACAAAUCCUAUCAAAUUCACCGAAAUGGAACUUGUAGAUGAUGAAGACGUGGAGACAAUGAUCGCUCUUUAUUGUGGGAAUCGGAGUGACCAAAAUGCACUGAUUCACUUAUUUGUUGAGUUAGCCGGUGUGGAGCCAAAUGAAGAUCUCACUGCAUAUGGUGAAGAACAUAGAGCUCAAGAACCGUGCAUGGUGGCUCCAAUAUCGUAUGUUGAUAAUGAAUCGACUAUACACGGGAUCAAUAUCGAUCUUAACAUUGCACCCGAUAUUGAUGUGGUUGGUGAUGAUGGAUACGAUAGUAGUGAUCUUUGUGAUCAAGAGGUCGAUAGUGAUAGUGAUCCUAAUGUGGAAGAGGUCCCCGAUGAUAUUGACGACGAAGACGUGAAUGACGAUGGAAACAUUAAUGUGUCUUCAGUUGGGAACCAAAUUCAACAUAUUGUGAUACACAAUAAUCCUGGGCCACACAUGUCAUUCAUAGACCCUGACACGAUGCACGUAGUCGAGUUCCCGGAGUACCCUAAAAUACUACCUACUUAUCGGCUAGCUGUAAAUUCUGAUCCUGAGGAGUUGUUCGUAAGCCAGAGAUUCGAAAGUAAGGAAGAGUGCGUAUUUGCUAUUAAGCGGUAUAGCAUGAAUAUAUCGGUGGACUACAAAGUUACAGUGCCUAAACCGACAUUAUAUAUUGGGAAGUGUUGGAAGUCAGCAGAAGGCUGCAAUUGGCGGGUACGAGCUGCAUUUAUUCAAAAUUCACAGAUGUGGGUGAUACGUAAAUUUGUUGGGCCUCACACAUGCACAUCAACAUGUAUAACAGAAGAUCAUCAAAAAAUUGAUUCCAAAAUUAUCUGUACGUGUAUCAUGCCAAUGGUGAGGGACAUGCUGACCAUUAAAGUUUCGGUACUGAUUGUCGAAAUGCAGAUAUGAUUCCAGUAUCGAGUAUCAUACCGAAAGACGUGGAUAGCUAAAUAGAUGGCAAUGGAGCAAUUGUACGGGGAUUUCAAUGCGUCGUAUAAUGAGCUACAGUGAUGGAUAGCAGCUAUGCGGGAGUACGUACUAAGGACUGUCAUUGAGUUAGAAACACGACCUUAUUACGGCUCGGAUGACCAUUUACAACUGAGAAAAAGAAUUUUCCAUCGAAUAUUCUAGAUGUUUGAUCCAUGUGUGCGCACAUUUCCCCACUACAAGCCGUUUGUGCAAAUAAAUGAGACUUGGCUAUAUGGAAAAUAUACACAGAUCCUACUUCUUGCGGUUGCUCAAGACGACAAUAAGAACGUGCUCCUGAUAGCAUUUGCCAUCGUAGAUAAGGAGAACAUGGAAUCGUGAGAAUUCUUCCUUACCAACUUGCGGAGGUAUGUUAUUAGCAACGAUAAUAUUUGCAUCAUCCCCGAUAGAGGGAAAUGAGUAAUUGUCGCCAUUAGGCAUUCCGGUGUGCCAUGGAGAUCCGUUUACUGCAUCCGGUACAUCGCGACUAACUUCCAUCCAGAUUAUAAGAAUGCAGACUGGCAGAGACAAGUUGUGAGAAUGGGUAAAGGAUAACCUUAUCUUUUCAAUACAAGUUUUAAUGUUUUGGGGUAAUACUAUAACUUAUAUUUUCUUAAUACAUAUACAACGCAUGAGCUAGAGCCACACAUUUUCCACCAAAGAAUGACUUGAUGUAAUAGCCCGAUUUUGAUCCUAAUCGGAACGGUGGUUUCGGGACCACGAAUCUGAGUUAGAAAAAUAUUUUAAAAUUAUUUUCUGUGUUUAUUAUGUAUGAAUUUACUUGUGUGAAACUUUUGUGCUUUAAUUUUGUCGUUUGAGUGUUCGAUUAAAUAAAAGGAUUAAAUUGCGUAAAAUAAAAAUUUAGUGGUUAUUUCUAAAAGGGCCGAAUAGUGGUUGUUCUUUAAAUAUGGGGGUUUUAUGUUGCAAUUUGACCAUUGAAAAGAUAGUGGACAGCAUUGUGUUUAUAAUAUAUAGUUUUUAUAUUAUUUAUAAAGGUUAUAAUAAUAAUUUAUAUAUUAUAAUGUUAUUAUAAUAAAAACAAACCAUAAGAAAGUGGCCAUUUUCAUUAUAUUUGUGUCGAAUGAAAAGAGAAAGAAAAUAAGAAAACCAAGCUAGGUAUUCGGCCCUUGUUCAAGCAAAUUAAGGUAUGUUUCGGUUUCGGUUUUUGAUGAUUUUUAUGUUUUUGAGAUCGUUGCUUCUAAUACUACCCGACCCAUGCUUCAAUUUUUGAUUUUGAUGAAUAUUUUGAGUUAUGCCAUUGAUGAAUAAUUGUGUUUUGUGAUGUUUGAUGAUGAAUUAUUGAAGAUAUGUUUUGGGUUAGUAUGUUUUGUAUUGGAAAUUUUGAUGAAUUUGAGUAAUUAGGGCUAAAUUGAAAAAAUAAUAAAUUGAGGGACUAAAAUGUAAAACAAAUGAAUUUUGUGAGCUUGCAUAGGCAUAAUGAAUGUUCGGCCAAAGCUUGGUAUGUGUAAAUUUUGUAUGUUUUGUGUUUUAUGCAAAUUGGACUAAAUUGUAAAAAGUAUAAAAUGUUAGGGGUAAAAUAGUAAUUUUCUCAUUUAUGUGUUUUUGGAUUAAAUUGAAUGAAAUUGUGUUUAAAUGAGCUUAAUUUGAAAUUGUAUAGAUCAAGAACAAAAGAAAUCAGACUUGGAUCUGGGAAAAAAAAUAGUAGUUGAAUAGUCGUUUUAUAUACCCGUCGAUAUCCGAGGUAAGUCUAUAAGCAUCUAUAUAUACUGUUUAUUUUAAUUAAAUAUGAAUUUUAUAUGCUGAAAGGAAAUAUGUGAAAUUAUACAUGUGUUAAUCAAAUGAAAAUAAGCUUGGAAGCUAUGUUUAUGAAUUCGUUUCGACAGAGUUACGACGUCCGAAAGGCCCGUAUGAACCUUAGGAAUAGCUAGGAUACAUAUGUCAUGACAUAGGAUUUUCGAUAUGUGUUCUCGUGUAAGACCACGUCUGGGACGAUGGCAUCGAUAUAUGUGAUUACGUGUAAGACCAUGUCUAGGACAUUGGCAUCGUAUUUGAUUCGUGUAAGACCCUGUCUGAGACAGUAGCAUCGAUAUGAGAUAGCAUGUAAGACCACGUCUGGGACGUUGGCAUUGUUCGAUAUAUGUGAUUAUUCGAGUAUCCUAUUAAAUUCCGAAUGGUUCAGCGGGCAAUGAUAAGUUGUGAUUAAAGGUGUAAAACGAGCUAAAAUGAUCAGGUAUGAGUUACUUGACUACCUAUUUAAAAAUACGAUAACUUGGCCAGUUGGUAUGUGAUAUAAAUUAUAUAAGUUACUAAUGUGAACAUAUGUACAUUGGUGAAGUAUAUUCGGCCAUGUGUUAUGUAUAUGCAUAUGAUGUUAUAUUUUGGUUCAAAGUUAUAUGUAUAUGUGUGUAAAUAUAUAUUCGAAUAUAUAAUGAUAUUAUGUCUUUGAAUUGUAUGACACUUUGAAUAUAUAUACAUGUACAUUCGGUUAAGAUAAGAUUUAUUUAAGAAAACACAUGUUUUAUAUGAAACGUUAAGCUUGAGGUUAAAUGUGAUUAUGCUAGUAUAAUUUAAUUUGGUUAAAAAUGAGUUGAUAAUGUAGUUUAUAUUCGGUCAAAAUAUAUAUGUAAUAAUAAGGUUAAAAAUGAGAGUUGCACAUGUGAAUGACAUUAGAUAUAUAUUCGGCCAAAUGUUAAACUUAUGUGUAUUCGGUUAAAUAUGGAUUUGAUGUAUAGUAUAUGUUUGAUAAAUGUAUUUUUCGAUUAUGGAAAUGGAUAUGAAUUUUGAAAACAUUAUUUGAUUUUGUUGUAACUAAUUAAAUGUUGUUAAGUUAUUUAAUUGCUCAUGACUUACUAAGCUGUAAUAGCUUACUCUGUGUGUUUUUUUUCCCUAUACUUUUUAGAGUUCCAAAGACUUACUCGGGUUGGAAGUCGUUGGAGUCGUCAUCACACUAUUCGGUUAUCGUUUCGGUAAAUUAAGGCUUUGAGUUUUUGGUUAUGUGGCAUGUAUAGGCUAGUUUUAAUUUAGUUGUUGUUUAUAUAUUUAGCCAUGCGAAAAUGGCUUGAUCUAAUGCAAAUGAUCCGAGGUUUAAGUAAUUUUGGUCAUAGUAAAGGUGUGGGGUAUGCUUAGUAUAUGAAUUUGGUAAGACGUAAUGAUAUAUAUAUGGUUUAUAAUUAUUUUAUUUUGGUAAGCAUGAUAUGGAUGAUGGAUGUGUUAUGGUUGUGGUUGUGGUUUAUUAAUGAUGCUAAUGAUAGUGAUUUUCGGUAUUGUGUUAGCUUAAUUUGUAAGUAUGAAUUAUGGUUUAAUUUGUGUGAUGAAAUGGUAUUGAGAUUUGGCUUGAUUAAAUAGGUAAAAUACGAUAUAUAUUAAAGAUGAAAUAAUGGUUAUUUCGAUUUAUGUGAUGUAAUUAUAGGUGAUGGUUAUAAUCUAGUUUGUGAUUCGGCAUUGGUGAUCAAAUCAUGUAGUUAAGUAUUUAGUUAUAUGUUAAUUUUGAAUUUGGUUGUAUUCAUUAUGUAUGGACUAUGUUAUGCUAUGAAUAUUUGGUAAAUUGAAAUGAUUAAUUUGAGUAAAUUUGUAAUGGCAUGAGUACAUUGGUGAAAUGGAUUGAAAAUGGAAAUUGAUAUAUUAUUAUAUAUAUUUGAUUGAUGAAAUGUAAACAAAUAUAUAUGUCUUUGAUAAGUUAAUUUGAAUGACCGGAUAUAUAUAUAAUAAAUUGAUUUGGGUGCGUAUAUGAAAUUUUGACAUGAUUUAUACUGUAUGGAAUUGGCACGUUUUGAAUUGGCUAGAGUACUUGAAAAAUGGCUAAUGUUAGUCAAGUGAGUAAAGUAUGAAUUGGUUUUGCAUGUAUUUUAGGCUUAAUAAUUAGCAUGUGAAUUGGGUAUAAAUUGUAUGGUUAGUUUGCUAGCUGAAUAGAAGAUAAGAAGAAUGGCAAAACAUACAAAUGUUUUGUACUUAAAUGGGAAGUUAGGCAUGUAUGUCUUAUUAGUUGAGUUUAAAAAAAAAUGGUGUAUAUUUAUAAGGUUAAAUGCAUUUGUCGCUAAGAUGUUUAUAUGCUAAACUUGACUAUUUGGUGAAAUUGAUUAUGCUGCAUUUUCUAAAGGACAAUAAGCCGAGCAAUAUGGAUUGUUUGGUUUUAUGCACAUGAAUAGAAAUAUGAAUUAAUAUGUUUGAUAUUCAGCUUAAGAAGUAAAAAAAAAAAAUGCUUGGAUGUCUUAAUGUAUGCGUAUGGAAUUUGUAAUGUGAUGAGUCAUCUUAUAAUUUGAUUUUUGAAUGAUAUGAGUAAGAAGUAUAUAUGUUUCGAAUGGUAGGAUUUUAAAGCAUGUGUAAUAUGACUAUUUUGAGCCGUGUUUUUUUUAUGGUAAUGCCUUGUAACCCUAUUUCGGCGACGGAUAUGGGUUAUGGGUGUAAUGGCCCGAAUUUUCAGUGGUGUCAGAAUGGUGAUUCGAGAUCACUAAAUCUGACAAAUGAGUAGAAAAUAUUAUUAAUUUAGUGAGAAUAAGUAAUUGUGAAGUUGGGAAAAUUUUUGAAAUAGUGAAUAGUGUACUAGGAAUAAAUAUUAAAAUAAUUAAAAUCGAAAAUGAGGUAUCGAGACCUCAAAAUUUUAAACCGAGCCAUAAUUAUUUUUAGAAAUAUUUUUAGAGUGUCAUUGAGUUGGUAUUAAAGUUUCGUUAGAAAAUUUUAACGUUUGGAUAGUCAAUUAACUAAAAAGGACUAAAUUAAAAAUAGUGUAAAAUUUAUUAAAUUGUGAUUAAAUAGCUUAAGUGAUUAAAAAGGAGGGAUUUAAAAGGAAAUUAGGCCCAAAAUAUAUGGGCUGGACGGUUGGGCAAGAAAAAUCUGGAAAAGUGAUGUAAUAAGGGUAAAAUUGGAAAUUUUGUAAAAGUUAACAAAUAAAAAUCUCAAUUAAAAGAGUUUCUAGGAAAUUCUUCAUAAUUAUCAGCCAAAAAACGCCAUUGAAGAGUCCCUCCAAGCUGGUUUUUCAUAUAUUUGAAUCAUGUGAGUUUAAUUCUUGAUUAUUUCUUCUAAUUUUUGUGGUUUUGAUACUUUUACAAUUAGGUCCAACUAAUUGUUUCAUUAGUUAUUGAUUUUAUGGCUGAUUUUGAAAGUUACCAUUGAUGAAUACUGAAUUUUUAUGAUGAAUAAACAUGGAAUUAAAGCUUUGAUUUUGUUAUAUGAUGAUUCUAUUAAAGUAAUUUUGAUAGAAAUUGAUUUUAGGGACCUAAUUGUGAAAAAGUUGGGAAUUAGGGUUUGGUGUUGCUUUUUUGAAUAUGAAAGGCUAUGUAGUAGUCUAAAAUAGUUGGAAAAGGUGUUAAUUGAGAAAAAUUAGAUCAAUUGAGGGGUUAAUUGAGUAGGGACCAAAUUAUAAAAAUUGUAAAGUUUGGGGUAAAAGUGUAAUUCCGAGAAUUUAAGGGCAGAAACUGUGAAAUGAAUUAGAAUAGAAUUAUAUGCUGAUGAAUGAAUAAAUUUUCAUUUUAGAUCGAGAACCCGAAACAAGUCGAGGAAAAGAAAAAGUAGCUGAUUAGUCCUUGAACUUUUACAAAUUCAGCAAAUCGACCCAGGUAAGUUCAUAUGGCUGAAAUUUAAUGAUUAAAUGUUAAUUUCAUGAAUUAUUCAAUGUAUGAUGAAAUGUAUUUAUUGUUGAAGUGAGAAUAAAAUAAAAAUGUGAAAAUCGAAUAAAUGAUCAAAUUAAGUGGAACACCGGAUUUGAGUACUUCUGAUCAAGAGAUAAAGUGAUAAGUGGUAGCUUUAGCUACACUUAUCUGAUCAAGUGAAAAAGUGAUAAGUGCUACACUUAUCUGAUCAAGAGACAAAGUGAUAAGUGGUAGCUUUAGCUACACUUAUCUGAUCAAGUGAAAAAGUGAUAAGUGCUAUACUUAUCUGAUCAAGUGAAAAAGUGAUAAGUGCUACACUUAUCUGAUCAAGUGACAAAGUAAUAAGUGGUAGCUUAGCUACACUUAUUUGAUUAGGGACGUAAGACCAUAGUUAUACUAUGGCAAGUGGAAGUGAAGUACUCAAUUUUCCGUAACUGUUCCUUAAUUUUGAUCAAGGAUGGUAAGUGACAAAUGGGCCCAAAGGAAUUAUGGUAAAAGAAUAAGUAGUAGUGAGUUCAUACCAAGGAAUUCACCAAAGAUUGUGGUUGACAGGUAAACUUAGUAAUGGUGUAUAUCGUAUAAGUGUACAAAUGUUUGGUAAGAUUUAUGUUUUAUGCCUAUGAACUUACUAAGCUUUUCUAUAAGCUUACAUGUGUGUGUUUAUUGUUUUUGUAGAUUAACGUAUUUAUACAUUCGGAGGAUCGGAUCUACAUCGAGAAUCACACUAUCCAGAUAUACUCCGGUAGAUUAUGUUAAGCAACUUUUUGGAUUUAUAUGGCAUGUAUAGGGAAUUGAAGUAAAAGUAAAUUUGAAUGUGAUGGUUGUGUUAGACAUUGAAAAAUACAUGUUUUUAGUUUGAUAUGGUUGAUUGGUUGAACUUCAUUAGUAUUCAAGUGAAGUAGUUGAAAUACUGAAAUUGGUUGUAAUUUGAAAUUUUGCAGGGAAGGUUAGGUAAUUAUAAAGGGGUUAUAUUGAAUUUUUUUUAAAAAUUUUAAUGGAAUAGUUUUUGGACAGCAGCAGUGAUGUAACUUUUAAAAAUCACUAAAAAUAGUGGAAAUAGAAUUAGAAGUUGAGUGAGAUAUGAAAUUAAAGCUGAAUGAGUCUACUUUCACAUGAAAGAAGUAGAGUAAGCAAAAGAAUUAUAUACUUUUAGAUAUUUGAAAUUUUAGUGAAACAGGGCAAUGAUGUUUUUGAAGUCCCCUGUUCUGAAUUUAGAAAUUCAUUAAAAAUUGUACAGAAGGAAUUAUGAGUUAUAAUUUAUAUGUAUAGAUUCCUUAAUGAGUCUAUUUUCAUUAGAAAUAAGUGGAAGCACAAUAUGAAGUCUGUAAUAAGAGAUAAUUGAAUUUUAGUGAUGAGUGGUCAGGAUAGUCGAUCAGUGAAACAGGGGAGACUUCAACUAAUAAACUGUACUAAUUGGCUAAACAAAAAAUUCUGAAAAUUUUAUAGUGAAUAGAUAUAUGAGUCUAGUUUCAAGGAAAAUUUACAGAUCUAAAUUUUGAGUUUCAUAGCUCGAGUUGUAAUUAUUUUAGUGACUGCUGCUUAGGUGGACAACUUUAUUAUGAAUGGUGAAAUUAAUUUUGAAAGUAAAUUUUUAUGCCCCGAACUUUUAAGUUAAGUCAAGUAAUGCCUCAUGCUCGACUCCGGCAAUGGUCUCGGGUAAGGAGUGUUACAAUGGGUGCUACACUUGACAUUGAGAGUGACAUGGAGGGUUAAAUGAACACAUCUUUUCGACAACGGUUGGGUACCAUGGAGCAGUGGCAAUGGGCUCAAAGUUUUGACGAGGGAUUUCGUUAUGGUCAAAUGACCACAAACUUGGUGGAGGGGAUUAAUGCUGUGUUGUUGAAAACAUGACAUCUUUCGAUUUCAUCUGUCUUCUCAGCUACAUUCUACAGGUUGACUACCUUGAUGCCAAGAAUGGGUCAGCAACAAGUCAACUAGAUGGAGGCGAGACACGUGUUUGUCGAAGAUGUUAGGGAUGUAAUGGUUGCAAACCAUUGGAUAGCGAGGUCGAUGAAUGUAGAAGUAUAUUCACGAUUUCUUGAAACGUUUCGAGUUACGGAGACCAUUGGUUGUCGACCUAGUAUACCACCUAGGUCCUAUGGAGUUGAUCUCUAAAACAGACGGUGCAAUUGUAGGAGGUUCCAAACACUUCAUUAUCCAUGUGUGCAUGUUGUGGUAGCGUGUGCUAAAGUCUAGCUCAAUGUUGAACAAUUUUUGGAUGAUGUGUACACCCUCAAGCGCACGUUGCGUGUUUGGGAGAAUGAGUUCCCCGUCCUGCCUGACCUGUCUACGUGAGAGGUGCCUCCGACAACUUUUGAGCUUGUCCCAAACAAAGGGUUGCGUAGGAAUCUGAAAGGUCAUCCGAAAUCAUCCAUAAUUCGUAAUGAAAUGGAUAUUAGGGAGAAAUCUGACAGUAAGCGUUGACCUGUCUACGUGGGAGGUGCCUCCGACAACUUUCGAGCUUGUUCCAGACAAAGGGUUGCAUAGGAAUCCGAAAGGUCAUCCGCAAUAAUCCAAAAUUCGUAAUGAAAUGGACAUUAGGGAGAAAUUUGACGGUAAGCGUUGUGGAUUAUACAAAUUAGCUGGUCAUAAUCGGAGUAAACGCCCGCAGCGAAACUACCAUGUUGGACAAUCGUCACGUUCGGGUUGGAAUUGAGCUUCUAUAAUCCAAAGUACCUAAUUUAUAUUACAAAGUUUGUUCCAAUUUUUAAUGUUGUAAUGUAUUUAAUUUAUAUUACAAAAUUUAUAUUACAAAGUUUGUUCCAAUUUUUAAUGUUGUAAUGUAUUUAAUUUGUAUUACAAAAUUUAUAGUACAAAGCUUUUUCUAAUUUUAGUGUUUUAAUGUUGUAAUGCUGCAAUUAAUCUAAUUUAUGACCACAAAGUUUGUUCCAAGUUUUAAUGUUGCAAUUAAUCUAAUUAAAUAAAUACAAAUAUUGUCUUUUUCUUGAUUUAUAUUUUUUUAAAAUAAAAAAGUACAAACUUUGUAAUAUUUAAAUUGCAAAAAACUUCUAAAAUCCUCUAAAAUUGAUGGUUUGGUGGUGUGGUCUAAGGGUAUAUUUCUGCGGCGAUUAAUUUUCUCUUUAGUCGUAGGUGGGGGUGUGCGAAACAUGGAAGAAAAAUCAUUGCCCUGAAUGCCAUCGAUGAACUUGAGUCGAGAGGAGUGCUGUACUGCGGUGGAUACGACCAGUAGGAGUGGAGUAAUGCGGUGGAUACGGGUCGAGAAGAGUGUUGUACUACGGUGAUACUGGAUUAAAGGUAUCAAACCCAGAAUGAUAUCCGUGUCCUAACGAGCCCGAGAAAUAGUCAUUGACCCGCAACUCCGAAUGAUAAGAACUACCGGUGGAAUGUGUAUGCGACUGCUCGAGCUCGGGCUCAGGCUCAGGCUCUGGUUCGACCUCUAUAUCGGACACUGGCUCGUAUGCCCCAGGUCGGUGCACGUGCGGGAGGACUACAGUCGACUGCCCACCAAGUAUAUAUGGUUUUCCCGUACUAGAGUACCAUUGUAUGUACUCUAACGAUGGUUGCAAAUCGGAAGAAAUAUCCAUCUGAGGUCUCCGCGCCAUCCUAUUAUCCCACAAUGCAACAUAUUUUCGGUGCACAACCCUCAAAUUAUUUCUAUGUUUUCCUCUCUUGUUGAUCCCGUGAAUCUUCCCUACCUGCAUUGGAGGAUUCGGGAUGUACUGGAUGCAACCAAACUGCCAAAGUACUUAAUUCCAGUUAUACCACUUGGUUGUUUAGAAAUUGAUAAUUUGUGCGUUAAUGCACCAUAGGUGAGAAUAAAUGUGGGCAGACGAGGCUAUAACAGUCGCAAUAUAUGGUCUCCGAUUCGACAUCCAGAUAAACUGCAGGAUUAAUAACACGGAUAAAAUUUAACACGAUUUGAGUAAGCUAUACAAAGUAAUUACAUGUCAUGAAUAUUGGAAUAACUUACCCCUUCCUUAGCAUGUUGUUCAAUCAUCAGACGAUAUAUCGGGACAGUGUACGACCUCCCAAUACCCAGAUAAAGACUCCAUCUAUGAAAACAAAUUACAUGUUUGAAUAGUAUCGUUAGAAUAGUAUCAUUAGAAAAAAAUGUCAAUUAAUAACAAGUAAAAUUUUAUCACUUGUUCACUAGUGGAAAUACAUAUGGUUAGUGCCUAACCGAUGCCAAGAAUGGCAUCCGAUAAAGAGCCCAUGACUGCAGCAAUAGAAGGCAUCCGCCUAUGUCUACAACAUCAGGCUUUGUUGUCCAACAAAGCUUAUGAUACAACAUAGCCAGAAUUGCGGAACCCCAACUAUACGAGCGAACAUUCUGCAAAUCAACUAAUAGGGGUAAAUACAUCAAAUGAACCUUGUUGUUGUUCCCAUCCGGCAUCAGUACACCCCCUAUAAUAUGUAUAAUGUACGCUUGAGCUGCGCACAUCACCUCAUUCUCAGUGGUAUUAAUUGAUAAAUUUUCAAAAGUGGCUUUCAGCCAUGAAAAUUUCAAGCCUAUAAAUUUGAACUCAGCAUCGUCAGGCAAGGACAAGACUCCUAGUAGGCUAUAACAAAGGGAAGCCGGCUUAGCUAUUGCACUUACGCCCGUUACGACAUUCCUGUCGAUUGGGAGCCCAAGUUGCAAUGCAACAUCCUCCAGAGUGACAGUGCACUCCCCAUACGAUAAAUGAAAGUGUGGGUCUCUGGGCGUCAACGCUAGACCAAUGCGGAUAUUAAAUCGUACCGCAAGUCAAACGUCCGGAUCAAUGCUGCUGACCCGAAUCUAGCUAACUCCAAGUAUGACAUCAGUCGUUCAUCCAGGGAAUAUCGUAAACCAUUCACCCGACCCCUUAACGCGCGAUACGGGCCUUGCCAGUAUUAAAUUACAGAAAAUAGUUAUAAUAACAUAAUUUAUUUCCGUAAAUUACGUAGAUCUUUUUUUAAGGGAACCUAUGGUUAACAAAUAGCAAUAUAUUACCAUAUUAUUAAUUGUGUUUGAUAUGUGACCAUUGUUCUUAAUCAAUGAACCCAUUGCGAUACCUGCAAUUUCAAAAGAAAUUUCGGUUAUUAAUUUCAAAGUUUGAUGGAUUUAAAUAUUUAUAAAAAUACCUAAAUUUUAUAUAUUGCUUUUAAUUACAAAAAACAUACCAAAUAGUUUUGUCCACAUCAUAUCUUUUGCUAUACUACAUUAACAAAAUAAAUAUAUCUUAUAAAUUCCAACUCAAACUCCAACUCAAUGGUCCUAUUCACAAAUUUCAUCUCAAUGGUUUAAUCUUUUACCUACAUAAAAAAUAAAAAGUUCAUAUUAAAAUAAUAAAAAAUAACAUGCCAAUAAAAAAAUAUAACAAAAACAUAACAUAAACGAUACAUAAUAAAUAAAAAUAUUAUUAUUAUUAUUUUAAAAUGAUAAUAAGUAAAAUGUAUUGGUUUAAAAUAUAAUAUAUAUAAUAACAUGCCAACUUAAUUAUUGUCAAAAAAUAUAAUUUUUUUUGAAUAGAACUUCAAAAGAAAUUUCAUUUAUAAUAUUUAUAAAUAACAUAAAAUAAAAUUUAAAAACAUAAACUCUUAUUCUCAAUUAUAAAAUCUUAAAAAAUUAGAACAUAUAAACUAAUUCCUAAUUUAUCUAAUAAAUCCCAAAUUUCAUAUCAAUGGUCUUAUCUUUUACCUACAUAAAAAAUAAAAAAAUAUUAAAAUAAUCAAAAUAACAUGCCAAAUAAAUUUCAUAAAAAAUAAAUCUAAUCAACCUAAAACACACAUAACAAAU
rnacentral:lncRNA from 1 species